rnacentral:rRNA from 1 species
AGCGAACGCUGGCGGCAGGCUUAACACAUGCAAGUCGAGCGGGCGUAGCAAUACGUCAGCGGCAGACGGGUGAGUAACGCGUGGGAACGUACCUUUUGGUUCGGAACAACACAGGGAAACUUGUGCUAAUACCGGAUAAGCCCUUACGGGGAAAGAUUUAUCGCCGAAAGAUCGGCCCGCGUCUGAUUAGCUAGUUGGUGAGGUAACGGCUCACCAAGGCGACGAUCAGUAGCUGGUCUGAGAGGAUGAUCAGCCACAUUGGGACUGAGACACGGCCCAAACUCCUACGGGAGGCAGCAGUGGGGAAUAUUGGACAAUGGGCGCAAGCCUGAUCCAGCCAUGCCGCGUGAGUGAUGAAGGCCCUAGGGUUGUAAAGCUCUUUUGUGCGGGAAGAUAAUGACGGUACGCAAGAAUAAGCCCCGGCUAACUUCGUGCCAGCAGCCGCGGUAAU